rnacentral:rRNA from 1 species
AUGAACGCUGGCGGCGUGCCUCAUACAUGCAAGUCGAGCGAACAGACGAGGAGCUUGCUCCUCUGACGUUAGCGGCGGACGGGUGAGUAACACGUGGAUAACCUACCUAUAAGACUGGGAUAACUUCGGGAAACCGGAGCUAAUACCGGAUAAUAUAUUGAACCGCAUGGUUCAAUAGUGAAAGACGGUUUUGCUGUCACUUAUAGAUGGAUCCGCGCCGCAUUAGCUAGUUGGUAAGGUAACGGCUUACCAAGGCAACGAUGCGUAGCCGACCUGAGAGGGUGAUCGGCCACACUGGAACUGAGACACGGUCCAAACUCCUACGGGAGGCAGCAGUAGGGAAUCUUCCGCAAUGGGCGAAAGCCUGACGGAGCAACGCCGCGUGAGUGAUGAAGGUCUUCGGAUCGUAAAACUCUGUUAUUAGGGAAGAACAAAUGUGUAAGUAACUAUGCACGUCUUGACGGUACCUAAUCAGAAAGCCACGGCUAACUACGUG